AUUGAACGCUGGCGGCAGGCCUAACACAUGCAAGUCGAACGAGUGGCGGACGGGUGAGUAAUGUCUGGGAAACUGCCCGAUGGAGGGGGAUAACUACUGGAAACGGUAGCUAAUACCGCAUACCAUCGGAUGUGCCCCGAUGGGAUUAGCUAGUAGGUGGGGUAAUGGCUCACCUAGGCGACGAUCCCUAGCUGGUCUGAGAGGAUGACCAGCAACAAGGGGAAUGAGACACGGGCCAGACGCGUACGGGAGGCAGCAGUGGGGAAUAUUACACAAUGGGAGCAAGCCUGAUGCAGCCAUGCCGCGUGUAUGAAGAAGGACGUCGGGUUGUAAAGUACUUUCAGUGGGGAGGCGGUACUAGGAGAAGAAGCACCGGCUAACUCCGUGCCAGCAGCCGCGGUAAUAC
rnacentral:rRNA from 1 species